rnacentral:lncRNA from 1 species
AGAAAAUAAACAAUGGUUGCAUAUUUUUGGGACCAAAUUAACUAUCCUAGCAAUCAGAAAAACAAAUUGCUUCCGGGGACAUUAGCAUAAGGCUUGACUGAUGUUUUAGAGUUUUUUGAUGCAUUAAUUUAUUCCAUGUAAAAGGAUAAACGUGAAUCUCUGAAUCAUUUGGGAGCUCUCCGACUAACUGGGUAUAUAUUUGUCUCUCGGU